CCCCUCGAUGAUGAGGACAUGGUAUCCUACAUCUUGACCGGACUCGAUAUCGAGUUCAAUCCAGUCGUCUCGGCGGUGUUGGCUUGAGUGGAGCCGAUCACCGUCACGGAGCUCCUCACCCAGCUCCUUGCGUUCGAGC